AAAACUUUCAAAAUCUCAAUCAAAAAGUUGUCUUGACGUGGAUGAAAAUCCAUCUGCUUCGUACGAGGAUACAAGUAUACCCGCUAAACGUUCAUUGUAAAAUCGGCGAAGGACAAUCGAAGACUCAAUUCAUCACAACAAACAAGAUUUGGAAGAGAUGAACGUGCAAUUAGAAUCAAUGAAUUUAAAUGUUCCUGAAUUACCAAUGAUUGCUAAUUACAAAGUCAUCUGCAGCAACUGCCACCACCGAGGUCACAGAAACACACAAACUAAACCGUGUAUUCUUGAAAAAUGUUCCGCGUUUACUUAUUGUGGACUUAAAGACAAACAUCCCGAAUAUUCUGCGGACAUAAAUCGAUUGAAGUUUAAGAUAAAACAAAAACACGAGACUAUUAAGCAACUCCAAGAAGAAUUAAAUGGUAUUAAUAAUUUUCAAA